GAUGAAUGCUGGCGGCGUGCCUAACACAUGCAAGUCGAGCGGCAGCGCGGUCUUCGGACUGGCGGCGAGCGGCGGACGGCUGAGUAACGCGUGGGAACAUACCCCAAAGUGAGGAAUAACUGCCCGAAAGGGUGGCUAAUGCCGCAUAUGGUCUUCGGAUUAAAGGAUUUAUCCGCUUUGGGAAUGGCCUGCGUAAGAUUAGAUAGUUGGUGAGGUAAUGGCUCACCAAGUCGACGAUCUUUAACUGGUCUUAGAGGAUGAUCCGGCACACUGGAACUGAGACACGGUCCAGACUCCUACGGGAGGCAGCAGUGGGGAAUUUUGGACAAUGGGGGCAACCCUGAUCCAGCCAUGCCGCGUGAGUGAAGAAGGCCUUCGGGUUGUAAAGCUCUUUCGGCCGGGAGGAAAUCGCAUCAGCUAAUACCUGGUGUGGAUGACAGUACCGGAAUAAGAAGCACCGGCUAA
rnacentral:rRNA from 1 species